GCCUCGGAGCGAGGCUUGGCUCUGGCUGCUUCUCUGCAGUCGCAGGUCCUCCCGGUGAGCCGCCCUGCUGGCCUCUGCACGAGGUCCCCCUCCUAGCUGCCCAGGAGGGGAGGGAAUGGCCCAAAGCGGGGACCUCCUCUUCUGCGGCCCAGAAGAGCCCGGCUGCCCUGGCUGCUAACUUUUGCACAGGUUGCCCCCGCACCGCACCGCUGGUGUCUCUGAGCAGAGCCUGUCUGGAAAGGCCGGGAAGUCCCCUGAAGGUUCCAUGAAGGACUGAAGCAGGUCGAGGAGCGCAUUCCUCCGCCUCCUUGUGAACCGACCUGCAGGAAGAUCCCACCACCUGACUUUUGAAGCUGCCCGGUCAGCAACACAAUUGGAGAACCUAGUCAACCUUGGAAUUUUGUUGCUGUGUUCCUAAAGCUUACAUUUCUUGAGAAGGCUCUUUACCUCAGGAUUCCAUAGGAGUUGAUUUAAGCAGCUGCUAAUCGUCAUCCUCCAGGUCGGCUUAGAAUUCUAUAUUUCUUGGCCAAUGAGGUCAUCACUGUUGGCAAAUGCAAGCAGGAAAAAAAAAAAAACAACAGGAGUCCCACCUUUGAAGCAGUGUCAGCAUGACACAUUGUGUCAGUACUCCUUAAGGAAAAGGAACUUGAAGGUUCAAUACAUGGAGUUCAGUGUUAAAAAGUCUUCAAAAGAUUGGAGAGAUUGCAGGGCUGCCUUUGCUUUUCAGGUAGCACCACUGUGGCUGCACCCAAACUCAGCAGGUUGCUGCUGCCACCCAGAGGUCAAGAUACUGCAGCAAACCACCAGCAGCAUCCAUUGGGCAGCCUUGCUCUGAGGCACUUCUUGCUAAUGAAGCUGGGGUUCCGCCCUCCACUGCAGAACGACUGGCACCGCAGCUGCAAGGAGGUUUCCCAAGUCCUCCUUACCUCCUGAGUCUCAUGUGAAAGCACCGGCAGAAUGCAAACUCUAUUCAAUCCCCUGAGAAACAGCAGCCUGAGAAAUGAAGGUCCCAGACUUCUAACCCCAAAGGUAUAAGAGGGAGAGCGGAGAAAGUUUAAUGAACAAAAAUUGCUGGCCGACAAACAACAUACAGUGCAAAUACAGCCUUGAGCUGGACAGGUUAAUGCAAAUGUUUAUUUAAAGUAAAACUCAGGGACCUCACUUUAAAAAGUUGAAUAUUUUUCAUCUAGUAUAACUCUCAUUAAUAUGAGGACUCAUUAAAUUUUAGUUUACAACUAUUUUUAAAUGAAACACAAAACAUUUAUUUCAGCAUUACUGAUAAAUUUUAGGAUGAUAGUAUUAAUUCUCUAGUGUCUUUCUUUGUCACUUCCUCCCCAGGCUUUCUUCAGGAUCUGCUUUUGUUAAAUUAUUGUUGUCCUUCCCUUUUCUUGGCCAGCCACUCCCCCGAUAACAGCCAUGGCCUUGUCUUUAUCAACAAUGAUAAUUAUUUGCAAUAUAAUCUAAAUAAAAAAUACAUCAUUUGUUGACCAUUG